rnacentral:rRNA from 1 species
AGUGAACGCUGGCGGUAGGCCUAACACAUGCAAGUCGAACGGCAGCACAGUAAGAGCUUGCUCUUACGGGUGGCGAGUGGCGGACGGGUGAGGAAUACAUCGGAAUCUACUUUUUCGUGGGGGAUAACGUAGGGAAACUUACGCUAAUACCGCAUACGACCUACGGGUGAAAGCAGGGGAUCUUCGGACCUUGCGCGAUUGAAUGAGCCGAUGUCGGAUUAGCUAGUUGGCGGGGUAAAGGCCCACCAAGGCGACGAUCCGUAGCUGGUCUGAGAGGAUGAUCGGCCACAUUGGAACUGAGACACGGUCCAGGCUCCUAAGGGAGGCAGCAGUGGGGAAUAUUGGACAAUGGGCGCAAGCCUGAUCCAGCCAUACCGCGUGGGUGAAGAAGGCCUUCGGGUUGUAAAGCCCUUUUGUUGGGAAAGAAAAGCAGCAGGUUAAUACCCCGCUGUUCUGACGGUACCCAAAGAAUAAGCACCGGCUAACUUCGUG